rnacentral:misc_RNA from 1 species
AAAGGCAAAAAGAAAUUGAUUAACAAUGUAAAAAUUGCACUCUUUAAUACAUGAAACUUAAAAAGUACAUGAUUUUUGAAAUGGGUUUUUCCUUUUCUCUAACCUUAAGGCCUGUCAUAGUGAAAGUAGGGUUCAAUUUUUUUUAUUUUUUCUUGUUUAUCAAUAGCAAAAUUUUCAUUUUAAAAGAAUGGUAUUAAAUGAGUACUUAAUGUCUUGAAUUGGAAAGUUUGUGGGCUUAAUAGCAAAAUUGAAAAAGAGGUAAUUAGUAGGCAAAACUAGGAAAAAUUUCAAGGGUUUGGAAAUGGGUUUUGAAUUAUAUAAACAAAUUCUUAAAAAGCUCAUUACAUGUAAUAUUGCACCCCAGUUGCUGCACAAUUUUCAUAAAAGUAGUUUAUUUCUUUGUGUUUUGAGUCCCUCUUUCCCGUUAACAUUUCCUUAAGUAGAAUCCUUUUGUUUUUUUUU